rnacentral:rRNA from 1 species
GACGAACGCUGGCGGCGUGCCUAACACAUGCAAGUCGAACGGAAAGGCCCUGCUUUCGUGGGGUGCCCGAGUGGCGAACGGGUGAGUAAAACGUGAGUAACCUGCUCUUGACUUUGGGAUAACUUCAGGAAACUGGGGCUAAUACCGGAUAGGAGCUCCUGCUGCAUGGUGGGGGUUGGAAAGUUUCGGCGGUUGGGGAUGGACUCGCGGCUUAUCAGCUUGUUGGUGGGGUAGUGGCUUACCAAGGCUUUGACGGGUAGCCGGCCUGAGAGGGUGACCGGCCACAUUGGGACUGAGAUACGGCCCAGACUCCUACGGGAGGCAGCAGUGGGGAAUAUUGCACAAUGGGCGGAAGCCUGAUGCAGCAACGCCGCGUGCGGGAUGACGGCCUUCGGGUUGUAAACCGCUUUCGCCUGUGACGAAGCGUGAGUGACGGUAAUGGGUAAAGAAGCACCGGCUAACUACGUG